rnacentral:rRNA from 1 species
GACGAACGCUGGCGGCGUGCUUAACACAUGCAAGUCGAACGGAAAGGCCCUGCUUUUGUGGGGUGCUCGAGUGGCGAACGGGUGAGUAACACGUGAGUAACCUGCCCUUGACUUUGGGAUAACUUCAGGAAACUGGGGCUAAUACCGGAUAGGAGCUCCUGCUGCAUGGUGGGGGUUGGAAAGUUUCGGCGGUUGGGGAUGGACUCGCGGCUUAUCGGCUUGUUGGUGGGGUAGUGGCUUACCAAGGCUUUGACGGGUAGCCGGCCUGAGAGGGUGACCGGCCACAUUGGGACUGCGAUACGGCCCAGACUCCUACGGGAGGCAGCAGUGGGGAAUAUUGCAGAAUGGGCGGAAGCGUGAUGCAGCAACGCCGCGUGCGGGAUGACGGCCUUCGAGUUGUAAACCGCUUUCGCCUGUGACGAAGCGUGAGUGACGGUAAUGGGUAAAGAAGCACCGGCUAACUACGUG